GGGGGAUGCAUUGUAAGAAACAACAAUCCGACUACAGAGCAGAAAAAAUAGCCACCAAUGGGUCUUUCACACCGGUGGAGGGCUUUAGAUUGCCACAUAACAAUAAUGUACCUGUUCAGCAAAUAUGGGCGUCACACUAAACUCCGAAUCACUUAUCUAUGAUACAAUUGUGAGUAAUUAUAAUGAAAAUGAUACAGAAAUAGAGUAACACAUCUUGAUUACAUAACAAUUAAAACAUCCUUAAAACUAUGUACAUAUACAUAGUUUAAAUACUUAAAUGUAGAAGCAUCGUCAAAUAAGAUUUUGACUAAAAAGGAA
rnacentral:lncRNA from 1 species